AUUUAUUUCUAUAAUUCCCCAUUUGAAUGGCCUUUUCUUUUUCCUUUGACAAUGCCUUCGCCUAGCCACAGCAGCUCCCUCAUACAGACUCCGCAAGCCAAGAGGCCGUGGAGGCAAAUGCAGGCAGCCAGCACACCUCGAACAGCCACCUUGACUGCGGGUGUCACCCUAGUCGCCAAGGAAACAUUUGAGGGAAAGCGACAGGCAAUGUGAACAGCCACUUCUCCAUGUAAACGAUACUCUUUCUCUCGGAUGACUCCUACGCCUCGCCACGCCAGCACUCUUGUGCACAAAGAUGCCGCGGAGGCACGUGCAGGUCAGAGGCAAGAAGCAGUGGCACUGGUGUCGACAUUCACCCAAUUUCUUUUUCUUACACUGAGGCAGCCAGCUCAUCUCGAACAGCCACCUUGACUGUGGGUGUAUCAGUAGAUUCCUGUUGUACAUAUGCUCAUAAUAAACUUCAGUAAACUUGAACUUGAUAAUAAACUUGAAGGCAAAUAGGA
rnacentral:lncRNA from 1 species